rnacentral:lncRNA from 1 species
AAUCAAACCUCAUUGACCAAAUCUCAUGAGCCAUAUACCAAACCUCAUGGACCAAAUCUCAUGAACCAAAAUCAAACCUCAUGGACCAAAUCUCAUGAACCAUAAUCAAACCUCAUGGACCAAAUCUCAUGAACCAUAUACUAAAUCUAAUGAAUCAAAUCCCAUGAACCAUAUACCAAAUAUCAUUGACCAAAUCCCAUAAGCCAUAUACCAAAUCUCAUAAACCAUACACCACAUCCCUUGAACCAAAUCUCAUACAUCCUAUACAGCAAACAUCAAUGAAUCAAUACCCAAAUAUCAUGCAUCAAUACCCAAAUAUCAUGAACCAAUACCCGAACCUAAUGAACCAAUAUCCAAGUCUCCUGCCCAAAGUUCAUCAUGAACUUAUUUUUUGCUCUAGCACAUAUACCUAGAGUAAAAAUUAAAAAUCGACUACCCCUAAUACAUAUACUUAGAGCUAAGUCAAUCGCCUUAGUACAUAUAACCAAGGCAGAAUCACCUCCAAACCGACAGAGUUCUAAAUUAUAUACUUAGAAUUCAGUCAAAUGAUAUCAAAUUCAUUCGAACUCU